rnacentral:lncRNA from 1 species
AGCUAUUGAAAAUCAUCCCUUUCAGAAAGAAGGCAGGCAAUAAUAGAGUUCUUCAACAAUGAUUAUCAUUUUCACUACACAAACUGCAUAAAAGAUGAAUGAAAGAAGAGACAACUGAUAGAGCAAUGUUGCAUCCACUUCCUCAUAAAGAGUUAUGAAUUGGUCCAUAAGCUACACAAAGCAAUUAAUGAAACAAUAUCAGCUUACUUUCGCUACGAAAUCAGGCCUUUAUUUGUCUCAGACCAUUUGUGGAAAUCUAGAUCACCUCUUGAUUGUGUAUAAGCAGGGACGUGGCCGUAUAGAACAUUCCAUCUAUUUAGGCAUGGAAAAGCAUAGCCUGUAAAAGCUUGUCUUUAACACAAACUAUUAAGAGAUUCAUAAAACCAAGCACCUUAUAGCUGCCUCUUAGCACCACCAAAAGGAAGAGCCACAUUACCUCAACG